GCCUAGUUAGCUUAGUUGGUAGUGCGUCUGCCUUGUAAGCGCUAGGCCGCGGGUUCGAUUCCCGCGCGGCGCG
rnacentral:tRNA from 1 species